rnacentral:rRNA from 1 species
GACGAACGCUGGCGGCGUGCCUAAUACAUGCAAGUCGAACGCAGGGGGGACGGGUGAGUAACACGUGGGUAACCUUCCCACCAGAGGGGAGAACACUUGGAAACAGGUGCUAAGGCGAUACUGAUGGAUGGACCAGCGGUGCAUUAGCUAGUUGGUGAGGUAACGGCUCAACAAGACCACGAUGCAUAGACGACCUGAGAGGGGGUUCGGCCACACUGGGACUGGGACACGUCCCAGACUCCUACGGUAGGCAGCAGUAGGGAAUCUUCAGCAAUGGACGAAAGUCUGACCGAGCAACGCCGCGUGAGUGAAGAAGGUUUUAGGAUCGUAAAGCUCUUGUGUUAGAGAAGCGGUAUCUAACCAGAAAGCCACGGCUAACAACGUGCCAGCAGCCGCGGUAAUAC